rnacentral:rRNA from 1 species
AUUGAACGCUGGCGGCAGGCCUAACACAUGCAAGUCGAACGAGUGGCGGACGGGUGAGUAAUGUCCGGGAAACUGCCUGAUGGAGGGGGAUAACUACUGGAAACGGUAGCUAAUACUGCCUACCAUCGGAAGUGCCCAGAUGGGAUUAGCUAGUGGGUGGGGUAAUGGCCCACCUAGGCGACGAUCCCUAGCUGGUCUGAGAGGAUGACCAGCCACACUGGAACUGAGACACGGUCCAGACUCCUACGGGAGGCAGCAGUGGGGAAUAUUGCACAAUGGGCUGAAGCCUGAUGCAGCCAUGCCGCGUGUGUGAAGAAGGCCUUCGGGUUGUAAAGCACUUUCAGCGGGGAGGCGUUACCCGCAGAAGAAGCACCGGCUAACUCCGUGCCAGCCGCCGCGGUAAUUC